rnacentral:lncRNA from 1 species
UUAUUAGAAAUUAGAGGGACUUACUCAGUGCUAAAAUAUAGAUAUAAUUUAUGAGUUGUUAUAAAUAAGAUAAACUUACUCGUAUAAUACAAAAUAAUUUCAACAAUCCAUAUUAUCCCAAGACCCCACUUAAGUACUAAUAGAGCAGAGAGAGUGGUCUCGGAUGUGCCGUUAACCGUAGUAACAACCCCUGUAUUAAGAUGUUAGAUAUUUGCGUCAUUAUGUCUUUUAAAAAGUGAACAAUGGACUAUUAAAAGUAAACGAUCAAACGAAUUCAAAGUGAACGAUUAAACGAAUUCGAAGUGAAUAAUUAAAGGAAUUCAAAGUGAACGAUUAAACCUAUUCAAAGUGAACAAUAAAACCUAUUCAAAGUGAACGAUUAAACCUAUUCAAAGUGAACAAUUACACCAAUUCAAAGUGAAAGAUUAAAGCAAUUCAAAGUGAACGAUUUAGUGAACUAAACGAAUUCAAAGUGAAUGAUUUAGUAAAAUAAAUUAAUUCAAAGUGAACAAUUUGUUGAACUAAACGAAUUCGAAAAAAUGAGCAAUUAUAGUGGAUUCAACGAUUUAAAAAGACUACAAGCCUAUUUUAGGAGACCAAAUAUAUUUGGAACCCCAGGAGUGUCCGCUACAGGCAACCCCCCCCCCUCCCCCACAAUCGAAAUAAUGUUUGUAUUCACCAAAAAAAAUUAUUUAUAAAUUGGAAGAAAAAUUUUAAUGGAAAAAGCAGAGAUAUAUACAUUUUUUUAGGAUCUUAUAAAAAAGAUCAUUUGAUCAAAUCCUUGGGCUGACCAAACUUUUAAUCAGCGUAAAAAAGUAAACCCUCCCUCAAAAAUAUAUAUAUAUAUAUACAUAACCCUGCGGAAGCCCCUGACCCCUAUUAUUCCUGCACCACUGAGAUUAUAAAUUAUUUUUUAUAAUGGCAUUCUUAUAUAUAGUAUCCAGAAAUGAAUGUAAAUUUAUCCCAAUUAAACUUUUAAUUAAUCGGUAAAAACAUUUGAUAUCAAAUAUCUUUCAAAUUAUGUAAAGAAAAUGUAUAUCCAAUCAGAACUAUCUAUCGUUAUAAAAACCUUUUUACCAACGUCAUAAAUGACAUCUUGGGUAGUCAAAAUUAUAUAAUUCAACAAGAUAUAAUUUAUUAAUUAGUAAUAUAAUUUCAACAACAUUAAGACAAUAAAUAGAUGUGUGUUAGAGCUCUCUUAAUCAUUAAUGUAGCCGUCCUUGGUAGUAAUGAAAGCCUCGGUGUUUGGAUAAAGGACACUGCAGGCCUUCCUCUUGACAUGCACCCGAAAGGUGUAGAUGAGGGAAUUUGUAUCUUGGCUGCACGGGCGCCAAAAGUGUUAGAAAAGAUUACAAAAGGCUAAUUCAUAACUCAUUCAAUAAGAGCUUUGCGACGGAGGAGAUGGGGCUCUUUCAUUGUUGGUGUCAAAAGGGGCCUCUCCACCCUCACAAAGCGCUCUUUCCACCCACUUUUUUAUAGUUAUCCGGACAGUUUGUUGUGAGCCCCCAGAUAUCUUUUGCAUGGGGCCUCAUGCACUUGGGAGGAUUAGCCUGAGCUGUUAUCUUUUACUCAUUUGGAUCCAAUUUGACCUUUUUGAUGGACCCUGUCUUUCUUUCCAACGUUUGGACUUGCUGACGGCGUAGACGGUGGUCAUGGAGGCGGUCAACUGCUUGAAGUGCGCGAAUGGAAAUUCGUGGAUAACGUUUGAGUGUAAUUUUCUCGACUUGUACUAAUUGGACAGAUUUCAAUGGAUCAACCGUUAAAAUGGACACAUAGAAUACAUCUUAUUAAGCUCCAUCAAAUUACUUUAAGACUAAAUGAACACACCUUGAUGAUAAUGAAAAGCACUGAUAUUUGAAUAUAAUCAAAGAUAUGUCUUGAAAAAACCAUACGAAAUGUCUAAAUUUGUACAUUUUUUUGAUCGAUUAGAGACGAGAAAAGUAGGAAAAUUAGAGAAAAAUUGCUUAUCCUUUCGAUCCUAUUAGUUAAUUUAUAUCUAUAAUAUGGAAAAAGAUUGUAUAACGAUGUAAAAACAUAUUUUUAAUACUUUUUUUUAACGAAACUAGGGAUAUAUUUUUGAAAUAUUCCAAAGGUUGAAGUAUUUUUAUUUUUUGGUCCAAUGGUUCACUAUUUAUCUUAAUAUCGAUGAAAAAAGAAGGAUUUUAUUUAUAUAUUAUACUUGGUUACUUAGGCUUCUCACAAUAGGCCGACAUCAACAAUGGUCACGUCACAUAAAACCGCUUUAUAAAAUUUAGAACCGUGAUGUUAAGUAUAGCGAAAUUCCUUCCCAGCCACUGGCAAUCUGCAAUGUUUGUAUGAGAUCCUUGACUUCUAGUUGUAUGAUUAUUAGGUAAUUACGGACAUUCUCCAAUGCCCAUAAUUAGCUACGAUUGAUAAAAAUGAUAUGUUAGUGAGGCUGUUGGAUUUGGAGUUGGAAUUCCAUUUACGUAGGGUUUCCAGGUGCAACUACUAAAUUACAAACCAGAGAUCGAGAUGAUUUUGUGGUGAGAUGGGAGGAAAAGUCUGCAUGCAAUUUUUUUAAUAUACGAACCGGAUAUGAGAUUCGAAAAAAUCAUGAAUUCUGAUUGGCUUGUUGUUCUUUUAAUUUUGUUUUUAUGAUCCCGUGUAUAAAAAUAACUAAUUGAU